GACGAACGCUGGCGGCGUGCUUAACACAUGCAAGUCGAACGGUGAAGCGCCUUCCUUUUUGGUGGGUGUGGAUGAGUGGCGAACGGGUGAGUAACACGUGAGUAACCUGCCCCCUUCUUCUGGAUAACCGCAUGAAAGUGUGGCUAAUACGGGAUAUUCUGGGUCUGUCGCAUGAUGGGUCUGGGAAAGAUAUUGUUUCGGUGGGGGAUGGGCUCGCGGCCUAUCAGCUUGUUGGUGGGGUGAUGGCCUACCAAGGCGGUGACGGGUAGCCGGCCUGCGAGGGUGGACGAUCACACUGGGACUGAGGCACGGCCCAGACUCCUACGGGAGGCAGCAGUGGGGAAUAUUGCACAAUGGGCGCAGGCCUGAUGCAGCGACGCCGCGUGAGGGAUGGAGGCCUUCGGGUUGUGAACCUCUUUCGCCAGUGAAGCAGGCCUGCCUCGUUUGUGAGUGGAUUGACGGUAGCUGGAUAAGAAGCGCCGGCUAACUACGUG
rnacentral:rRNA from 1 species